GAUGAACGCUGGCGGCGUGCUUAACACAUGCAAGUCGAACGGCAGCGCCGUGCUCUUGCAGCCUGUCGGCGAGGGGCGGGCGGCUGAGUCACGCGUGGAAACGGCCCUCAAAUUGGGGAAUAAUUGCCCAAACGGGUACCUAAUACCGCAUAUUAUCCUCGAAUCAAAGUGGUUAUCCGAGUUGGGAGCGGCUCGCGUCGGGUUGCGUCGGUGGUGAGGUUAUGGCUCAGCAAGGCGCCGACCCAUGGCUGGUCUGAGAGGCUGACCAGCCAGGCUGGAACUGAGACACGGUCUAGACUCGGACGGGAGGGUGCAGAGAGGAAUAUUCCAGAAUGGGCGAUAGUGUGAUGACGCAACGCCGCGGGCAGGACGAAGGGCGUCGGGUUGUACACUGCUUUUAUAAGUGAGGAAUGUGACGGUAACGGAUGAAGAAGGACCGGCUAACUACGUG
rnacentral:rRNA from 1 species